CAUUUAGAGGAAGUAAAAGUCGUAACAAGGUUUCCGUAGGUGAACCUGCGGAAGGAUCAUUAUCGUACAACGAGGGAAGCCCGGCUGUCGGCUGACCCCUUUUUUUGGGGGGGGUCGUGCACGCCGUCGGUGUGUCCUCAACACAAUCAAAUCCACCUCACCCUUUGUGCAUCGCCGCGUGGGUUCCGGAAGGGGGCCUGCGCCUUUUACACACACACAUGAUUCAGUGUAGAAUGUCUUUUGCAUUUGUAUGCAAUCAAUACAACUUUCAACAACGGAUCUCUUGGCUCUCGCAUCGAUGAAGAACGCAGCGAAAUGCGAUACGUAAUGUGAAUUGCAGAAUUCAGUGAAUCAUCGAAUCUUUGAACGCACCUUGCGCCCCUUGGCAUUCCGAGGGGCACACCCGUUUGAGUGUCGUGAAAUCCUCAACCCUUCUUUGUUUCUUUUCGAUUCGAAGAAAGGGCUUGGAAUUUGGAGGCCUUUUGCUGGCCUUUCUUGAAGCCAGCUCCUCUUAAAUGCAUUAGCAGGGUCUCCUCAGCUGGAUCCCUUGACGUGGAUAAGCCUUUUACGUCUCAGAGGGUUUCUGGCUCUGCCCGCUUCCAAUUGUCUCGUCGAGACAAACCUUUUGAACCCUUGACCUCAAAUCGGGUGAGACUACCCGCUGAACUUAAGCAUAUCAAUAAGCGGAGGAAAAGAAACUA
rnacentral:sRNA from 1 species